GUCAAGAGUAGCCUCUCUCCAGUCUCCUGCCUUCUCUUUCAUUCACUUAAGCAAUGUCGGUUUAGUGCUUUGUUGUCUGACUCUGUCACUAACCCCAUAGACUGUAGCCUGCCAGACCCCUCAGUUCAUGGGAUUCUCUAGGCAAGAAUACUGGAGUGGGUUGCCAUUUCCUUCUCCAGGGGAUCUUUCUGACCCAGGGAUCAAACUUGCGUCUCCUGCAUUAGCAGGCAUAUUCUUUACCACUGAGCCACUUGAGAGAGCCGCAGCCUCCCCAGGAGACCCUCCAAGACCAGCAGGAAGAAGCAGAGACAUGAGGAAUGCACAUGCGCAAAAGACCACGAGAAGACACAGUGACGAGGCAGCCAUUGCAACACGAGAAGGGAGAGGUCUCAAGAGAAACCAAUCCUGCCAGCACCUUGACCUUGAAUUACCAACCUCCAGAACUGUGAGAAAAUAAACUUCUGUUGUUUAAGCAAAAAA
ensembl:lncRNA